AGGGAAUCUUCCACAAUGGACGAAAGUCUGAUGGAGCAACGCCGCGUGAGUGAUGAAGGCUUUCGGAUCGUAAAACUCUGUUGUCAGGGAAGAACCGGUACGUCGGUAAAUCGACGUACCUUGACGGUACCUUGUGAGAAAGCACCGGCUAACUCCGUGCCGCAGCCGCGGUAAUACGUAGGGGCAAGCGUUGUCCGGAAUUAUUGGGCGUAAAGCGCGCGCAGGUGGUUUCUUAAGUCUGAUGUGAAAGCCCACGGCUUAACCGUGGAGGGUCAUUGGAAACUGGGAGACUUGAGUGCAGAAGAGGAAAGUGGAAUUCCAAGUGUAGCGGUGAAAUGCGUAGAGAUUUGGAGGAACACCAGUGGCGAAGGCGACUUUCUGGUCUGCAACUGACGCUGAGGCGCGAAAGCAUGGGGAGCAAACA
rnacentral:rRNA from 1 species